rnacentral:rRNA from 1 species
AGAGUUUGAUCNUGGCUCAGGACGAACGCUGGCGGCGUGCUUAACACAUGCAAGUCGAGCGAUGAAACACCUUCGGGUGUGAAUUAGCGGCGAACGGGUGAGGAACACGUGAGAAAUCUGCCUUCAACACUGGGAUAACUCCGGGAAACCGGGGCUAAUACCGGAUAUGAAAUCUGCGGGCAUCCGCGGAUUUGGAAAGUUUUUCGGUUGAAGAUGAUCUCGCGGCCUAUCAGCUUGUUGGUGAGGUAAUGGCUCACCAAGGCGACGACGGGUAGCCGGCCUGAGAGGGCGACCGGCCACACUGGGACUGAGACACGGCCCAGACUCCUACGGGAGGCAGCAGUGGGGAAUAUUGGGCAAUGGAGGAAACUCUGACCCAGCGACGCCGCGUGCGGGAUGAAGGCCUUCGGGUUGUAAACCGCUUUCAGCAGGGAAGAAGCGAAAGUGACGGUACCUGCAGAAGAAGCACCGGCUAACUAUGUGCCAGCAGCCGCGGUAAUACAUAGGGUGCAAGCGUUGUCCGGAAUUAUUGGGCGUAAAGAGCUCGUAGGUGGUUCGUCACGUCGGAUGUGAAACUCUGGGGCUUAACCCCAGACCUGCAUUCGAUACGGGCGAGCUUGAGUAUGGUAGGGGAGUCUGGAAUUCCUGGUGUAGCGGUGGAAUGCGCAGAUAUCAGGAGGAACACCAAUGGCGAANGCAGGACUCUGGGCCAUUACUGACACUGAGGAGCGAAAGCGUGGGGAGCGAACAGGAUUAGAUACCCUGGUAGUCCACGCCGUAAACGGUGGGCACUAGUUGUGGGGACCUUCCACGGUCUCUGCGACGCA